AGUAAGGAUAGAGGUGCAAAUACAUGAGUACGCAUGUUGAGGAGAAUGAGAUCCGACGACACAUGGGGAAAGGGGAUUUUGCCGAAGCGGAAGGAAUCUCAUAUUCCGGACGUUGGUUCUGUUGCUUAAGAGGUGCAGGACUGUCAUAUAGGAGACUAUAUGGAGGGCUAUCUUACGC
rnacentral:ncRNA from 2 species